AAAACCCUAUGGACCUGAAAGGGGCUGCAGUGUGCUCCAGUCUCCACCAGGGGGCAGUAAAACCCCAUGGACCUGAAUGGGGAAGUGAGGAGUAAAAAUCAAAGGUAAAGGUGUGUUAAAUGGAAGGGCAAGUCUCACCACUGAGAGGAAAACAUCACUGGUCCACCUCUGCAUCAGGUCAGCUAUGUUGAUCAGUACUGUCCCAGGGAUGCUGGGAGCAGAGAUGAACUCCCCUGACCUGGUACCAUCUAUGGAGUUGUCAUUUUAAUAUCAGUUUAACCCCAUUACUGCUAUAACACAUAAACCAUGUUAAUAGAAUGAAAUGGAUCCAGGUUCCAUUUAUUCUACAUUAGAUUUACUGCCUGUGGAACACUUCUCCAAAGUGGUCUGAAAUCAAGAUGACUGCAGGUCUGAAUCCCAAACUAAUGGGGGGAAAUGUAUCCAUCUAAUAAGAUGGUAUUUAGAGAUAUGGAGAAAAACAUCACAAACUCUACUAUUGGGGUGAACAAAUUCCAUUAACAUACAUACGGGGCAGUCAGAAACAUUUUGUUACGUUACAGCCUCAUUCUACAGUGGAUUAAAUAAAUCAUGUUCCUAUUCAAUCCACACACCAUACCCCAUAAUGACAUCACAAUACCCCAUAAUGACCUCACAAUACUCCAUAAUGACAUCACAAUACCCCAUAAUGACAUCACAAUACCCCAUAAUGACCUCACAAUACUCCAUAAUGACAUCACAAUACUCCAUAAUGACAUCACAAUACUCCAUAAUGACAUCACAAUACUCCAUAAUGACGUCACAAUAUCUCAUAAUGACAAAGCGAAAACAUGUUUAUUUUUAUUUUUUUUUGCAAAUGAUUAACCGAAAUACCUUAUAUAAGUAUUCAGAACCUUUGCUAUGAGACGUGAGAUUGAGCUCCGGUGCAUCCUGUUUCCAUUGAUCAUCCUUUUAGAUGUUUCUACAACAGGAUUGGAGUCCACCUGUGGUAAAUUCAAUUGAUAGGACAUGAUUUGGAAAAGCACACACCUGUCUGUAUAAGGUCCCACAGUUGACAGGUCAUGUCAGAGAAAAAUACCUCCCUGACCAAGGCCCUUCUCCCCCCAUUGCUCAGUUUGGCCAGACGCCCAGCUCUAGGAAGAGUCUUGGUGGUUACAAACCUCUUCCAUUUAAGAAUUAUGGCCAUUGUGGUCUUGGGGACAUUCCAUACCGAAAACAUUUAAUGGUACCCUUCCGCAGAUUGGUGCCUUGACACAAUCCUGUCUCGGAGCUCUACAGACAAUUCCUUCGACCUCAUGGCUUGGUGAUGAAACAAAGAUUGAACUCUUUGGCCUGAAUGCCAAGAGUCACAUCUGGUGGAAACCUGGCACCAUCCCUACGGUGAAGCAUGGUGGUGCAGCAUCAUGCUGUGGGGACGUUUUUUAGUGGCAGGGACUGGGAGACUAGUCAGGAUUGAGGGAAUGAUGAACAGAGCAAAGUACAGAGAGAUCCUUGAUGAAAACCUGCUCCAGAGCACUCAGGAACUCUGACUGGGGUGAAGGUUCACCUUCCAACAGGACAAUGACCCUAAGCACACAGCCAAGACAAUGCAGGAGUGGCUUCGGUACAAGUCUCUGAAUAUCCUUGAGAGGCCCAGCCAGAGCCCGGACUUGAACACGAUCUGACGAUCCACUGAAUCCUCAGAAUUGAGUCAUGUUGGGGAUGGAUGAUCUUUGACAUCGUUCAGUAAUUGAGUCAUGUAGGGGAUUGAUGAUCUUUGACAUCGUUCAGUAAUUGAGUCAUGUAGGGGAUUGAUGAUCUUUGACAUCUUUCAGUAAUUGAGUCAUGUAGGGGAUGGAUGAUCUUUGACAUCUUUCAGUAAUUGAGUCAUGUAGGGGAUGGAUGAUCUUUGACAUCUUUCAGUAAUUGAGUCAUGUUGGGGAUGGAUGAUCUUUGACAUCUUUCAGUAAUUGAGUCAUGUAGGGGAUGGAUGAUCUUUGACAUCGUUCAGUUCUUUCUCUGACGGGUCUGAGUUUGUGUGAGUGGCGUGUUUUUCUUUCAGAGUUUGUGAUGAUUGGUUGUGGUAGAAGGUUCCUGUUGUCAGACUGGAGGAACUGAUGGUCAACUGGAGGCUGUUGGGUUCUUCUCUCAAUCAGGGGUCAGAGGUUGAGGGUUCAGUGUGCUGAUGUGUAGUUGUUGUAUCAUGGUUUUUGGUUAACAUGUCCUGUUGCUGGGUAAAGUUCAUGAUGACGUUGAACACAUCUUUAUCAAGGGUGCCAAUACUUCUGGACCUAACUGCACACUGUAGUGGUGGGGCAGCAUGCAUCACAUGUCUCCAUGACCCUGUGGGCUGAACCCUCAAUGCUGCAGAGGCCCUAUGCUCCUCUAGGAGGUUGUUGAGGCCCUAUGCUCCUCUAGGAGGUUGUUGAGGCCCUAUGCUCCUCUAGGAGGCUGUUGAGGCCCUAUGCUCCUCUAGGAGGUUGUUGAGGCCCUAUGCUCCUCUAGGAGGCUGUUGAGGUCCUCUGCUCCUCUAGGAGGUUGUUGAGGUCCUAUGCUCCUCUAGGAGGUUGUUGAGGUCCUCUGCUCCUCUAGGAACUAAAAGAGAAGUAAGUCAUAUGUCACCACCACCCAAUAUGACUUCAUACAUCUCCAGCUUAUUGAAAUUACAGCCUGAAAACUCAGUGUCUUUUUUCCCUUCAUGUUCCUGUACUCACUCAGGUUGUACCAUUGAUAUAAAAAGCAUUUGACACAACUGUUGUGUUAAAUGGGUUGUACAACCCGAGAGGGUAUGUGGACAAUAUGUGUUUGUUUUCAGGUUGAAGUUGUCCCCCAUCCAGCCCUCCUCUAGAGGAGUGAGGAGAAUGAUAUCAACUCAUGUGUUUCCAGGUUACUUCAGUAUGAUCCUAUGAACCAAUCUGAAGUCAGAUGGGGCUUCUACAUGAAACAGGACAUUUCAUUGAUAGGACCGUGGGAAAGGUGGGUCUCCAUCAACCAUGUUAGAAACUGAUUGACAUCAUCAACCAUAUUAACAAGUGUGUGAACAUAUUCAUAUUCAGUAUGGAAAAGUACCUGAGGAAAUAAAACACAUUUUAUGAAACCCAUGAGAGAUAUAUUUAUAAUGUAUAUUUAUCCUUCAAAGAGCGACUACUUUGUGAGGUUCAGCCUUUCGUUGGUGAAUGUUCUCAGAAAGGGGGACAUUGGGGAAUCUGAAUAGAUAAGACCUGACAAAAUACUACCUCUAUGUCCUGUGUUCUACAUCCUGGGUAUUACUGUCAUCACCACAGCAGAUAACUGUGUUCUACAUCCUGGGUAUUACUGUCAUCACCUCAGCAGAUAGAUAACUGUGUUCUACAUCCUGGGUAUUACUGUCAUCACCACAGCAGCUAAAUAACUGUGUUCUACAUCCUGGGUAUUACUGUCAUCA
ensembl:lncRNA